CUUGACCGAGCCGAGCCACAGCGGCCGGUCCCGGUCCGCGCCGUAGGUGGCCUGCAGCGCCCGGGCCUC
rnacentral:antisense_RNA from 1 species